GGAGCAUGUGGCUUAAUUCGAUGCAACGCGAAGAACCUUACCUAGGUUUGACAUGGACGUGGUACCUGGGGCGAAAGCUUCGGGGACUCGCAAGAGAGCGUUCACAGGUGCUGCAUGGCUGUCGUCAGCUCGUGUCGUGAGAUGUUCGGUUAAGUCCGGCAACGAGCGCAACCCUCGCUUCCAGUUACCAUCAAGUAAUGUUGGGGACUCUGGAGGGACUAACCCGUUAGGGUGGGAAGGUGGGGAUGACGUCAAGUCAGUAUGGCCCUUACAUCUAGGGCUGCACACGUGCUACAAUGCCUGGUACAAAAGGAGCCGAGACCGCGAGGUGGAGGAAAUCCCAAAAGCCAGGCCCAGUUCAGAUUGCAGUCUGCAACUCGACUGCAUGAAGCCGGAAUCGCUAGUAAUGGUAGAUCAGCUACGCUACCGUGAAUACGUUCCCGGGCCUUGUACACACCGCCCGUCACGUCAUGAAAGCCGCUUCCGCCCGAAGUA
rnacentral:rRNA from 1 species